AAACUGGAGAGUUUGAUCCUGGCUCAGAACGAACGCUGGCGGCGUGCUUAACACAUGCAAGUCGAACGGGAUUCAGAGCUUGCUCUGAUGAGAGUGGCGCACGGGUGAGUAACGCGUGGAUAACCUGCCCUGGUAUCUGGAAUAACAUCUCGAAAGGGGUGCUAAUACCGGAUAAGCCCACGAGGUCUUCGGAUUUUGCGGGAAAAGGUGGCUCCGGCUACCGUAUCAGGAUGGGUCCGCGUACCAUUAGCUAGUUGGCGGGGUAAUGGCCCACCAAGGCGACGAUGGUUA
rnacentral:rRNA from 1 species